UACGUAGGGGGCAAGCGUUGUCCGGAUUUAUUGGGCGUAAAGAGCGUGUAGGCGGCCUAGUAGGUCAGCUGUGAAAACUCGAGGCUCAACCUCGAGCUGUCGGUUGAAACCACUAGGCUAGAGUCCGGAAGAGGAGAAUGGAAUUCCCGGUGUAGCGGUGAAAUGCGCAGAUAUCGGGAAGAACACCCGUGGCGAAGGCGGUUCUCUGGGACGGUACUGACGCUGAGACGCGAAGGCGUGGGGAGCGAACAGG
rnacentral:rRNA from 1 species